rnacentral:rRNA from 1 species
UACGUAGGGGGCAAGCGUUGUCCGGAUUUAUUGGGCGUAAAGAGCGUGUAGGCGGUUAUGCAGGUCCGCUGUGAAAACUGGAGGCUUAACCUCCAGACGUCGGUGGAAACCGUAUGACUAGAGUCCGGAAGAGGAGAGUGGAAUUCCUGGUGUAGCGGUGAAAUGCGCAGAUAUCAGGAAGAACACCCGUGGCGAAGGCGGCUCUCUGGGACGGUACUGACACUGAGGGACGAAAGCUAGGGGAGCGAAUGGG